rnacentral:lncRNA from 9 species
ACAGCCGUGCGACAAGGGGCAGGUUUCUGAAGGACCAGAGAGAAAAGGGGUCUGUUGUUCUCGGGGGCACAGGCUUGCUGGUGGCAUCCCGCACAGACACUCUCUCCUCACAGCUCCCACCACGGGGACUGGAGGCAGGAGGAGCCGACGGGCCCCUGGAACGGCCGCGGUGCGUCCAGAGGUGGGAGCCGCAAGCCCGAGGAUCGGCCGAGUCCCAGGGGACCCUAACGGAGGCCGGGCUGGAAGGCCAAGGUGGCUGCCACGUGGGAAGGUAUCCUUGACGUCCAGACCCUGGAGAAGGAUCGGGAGCCACCACCCAAAGCAACUGUCCAGGAAAAGUGGUCGCGCUUCAGCCAUCGCGCUGGGCUAGGUCUUCCAAGCGAACCCCCUGUUGGAGCCUCUGCCGUCUAACGUCACCUAAUGUAGCCGAACCUGCCAAGACCCUGGCUACUUCACUGGAACCCAGACCAGGGCGAUCCCCGAGUGUUGCGAGAAUCGGUCUGUAUCUAAAGCGUGCAUGAGGAGCCUUCCGCCUUCAUUCCUUCCUGCCUGGGACAGACCCAGCGGCAUUGCCAAGAUGACAUUCUUAGGACAGGCACCUGCUAGAUUCCCUUCCCCCUUGGUAGCUGCUCAUUGACGGUGCUUGGAAUCAGAGCCGCAGCUGCUUUUGCGUCCCAAGACCUUGAGAAAAAAAUCGUGUCCAGGCUUGAAUGACAGAUGAAAGGACCCUACAAAUGACCCGAUGGCUUUUAAAGCAGCCUUCCUUGGGCAGCAGGCGCACGAAGUGGCGCUGCCCGGCAGUGCCUCUACGUGCAUCUGGCCCUCCUCUCCCCGCUCCUUCCUCUUUAUUGCACCUCCACGACUGCCGACGCGCACAAGGAGCCGCUGCCGGAGAGGAAAUAGGAAAGGCCCUUCUCUCUUCUUUUGUCCCCGCUCUAGUGGGUGAGCAGGACCCAGUUUAAAGGGGGCUCUGGCUGAAGAAAUAAAGGCUGCAGGUGAAUGUUCAGCUUGGCUGUGCAAGGUGAGUAUAAAAAUUCUGCUGCACAUCGGCGCUUUGGAGGCCUGGUCUCUGCCACGCUUUCCUGAAUGCGCUGCAGGCAGACCUCACCUGCUUUACUGCGCUUCACCGAUGCUGCGGUUUUUACAAACUGAGGGUUUGUGGAAAGCGCGCUGUCAGCUGAUGGUUUACAUUUUUUGCAAUAACCUCCCUUGAAUCCAGGUGUGUACAUUGUUUUUUCAGACAUGAUGCUACUGCAGACAUAAGAGACUGCAGACAUAGCAUGAAGCUAGCUUUUCCAUGCACUGGAACCAGCCAGUACUCACCAGGUUGAGCUGGUCUGGAGCUGAACCCAGCUUCUCCGAGGUCGGCCCGUGGUAGAUGCUCCUUAUCCGUUUCCCUGAAGCGACCAAGCACAGCACGAGAGCCCAAGGCCCCCAUGCAGAUAAUGGACAAAGGCAGGACUUCGUGUUAGUGGGUAAGACAAGGGUUUGACAUUCCUCGCAUCCUCCCAGGGCUGCUCCGUGACGCUUUUGUCCGCGUGCGUCCUCCUGCGUCAGCUGCUUUACACACAGUCGUGUGCAUGUGUUCGCCCCACCUCCUAACUCACUGUCCACACUGCUUCUUGCAGCCCACCUUCCUCUUCCUCGACGGUGGCUCCAGCCCCUUCAUGUCGCCUCCAAGCUCCUGCCCAAGUGUUCCCACCCGCACUGCUGGGAGCAGCUCCUCUGUGUUUUCAGGGCCACUUUGCUGUCGUCCUUUGAAGGUUCUCUUGGCGACUCUAGGAAGACUCCGUGGUACAGGUGACCUUCUGUAUCUGUGGAGGAUCGGUUCCCAGAUACCCCCGCCCACGGAUCCCAAAAUCCCAGGAGCCAAGCCUUGUCUAAAGUGCCGGAGUGCAGCCUGGCCUCCAGAACGCGUGAGAACAGAGCAGCCGUACUCUGUUUCCAACGACCGAUGGCCAAAGCCCCGCUGUGCGUGUUCUCUAUGGACUGAACAGCCAGUGGCCCUGUAGCAGUGAAGCCUCACACCGUCCUCCAGGCUGGAAGGGACCCUUGAGUCACAGAACUUGCCAGUUUGCAAACAUGUCUCUAGUUGUAACAACUUUCAUCUGUCAAAUGAGGGCUCUUCAUUUCUAAGGUUCUAGAAGCCGGCCGUGGUCAUAUAGUCCCUCAGCUGGGUGUACUGAAAUCUGGGCCAGAGGCACAGCUUCCUCGCUAAGACACCCCCCCACCCCAGCACCCUGCACACACACACAGGCAGAGGCCAAGCUGCCUGCCUCCCCGCACCCCCUAGAAUGCUAACCACUGGGGACCGAGGGGUAGUUCCUACCUUUUAUAUCCUUACAUACUGAAUCUGGCGCUGGCUCCUGGGCUGCAUCUUCUUAACUGCAAACACUCUAUACCAUCCCUCUCUGGUUCCACCAGCCACCACCCUCCUUCCGUGUCCUCCUCUGAACGUGCCUGAUAAAGGCUUUUGAGUGACUGAAUGAGUGGACGGCUCCCAUCUUCUGUCAUCUCAAUGAGUGCUGCUCCCCAGCUGACUGGAACCAGACGCCCUAGUUCCCAGGCUGGGUUUCCCUCCAGAUGUGUUCUCCUGCGGUGUCGGUUCCACCGUUAAACAGCUGUAUCGCUCAGCAGGUACGCAACGUUGAUGCGCCUCCAUUUCCUCCUCUGCAGAAUUGUGGGCGUUCCUGUCGUGGCUCAGCAGAAUCCGGCUUGUAUCCACGAGGAUGCGGGUUCUAUCCCUGGCCUCGCUCGGUGAAUCUGGGAUCCAGCCUUGCCGUGAGCUGUGGUGUAGGCCGGAAGCUGUAGCUCCAAUUUGACCCCUAGCCUGGAAACUUCCAUAUGCUGAGGGUUCGGCCUUAAAAACAACAACAACAACAAAAUAGUACUUACGUCAUAGGGUUGCUGUCAGCAUUAAAUGAGAGAGUCUGUUAAAAACGCCGAGAACAUUGCCUGGCAAUAUACAUUGCAGAAUACUCAAUAAAUAUUAGCUGGUGUUA